GAUGAACGCUAGCUACAGGCUUAACACAUGCAAGUCGCGGGGCAGCAUGGGGGUUGCUUGCAAUCCCCGAUGGCGACCGGCGCACGGGUGAGUAACGCGUAUCCAACCUGCCCUUCACCACGGGAUAACCCGGCGAAAGUCGGACUAAUACCGUAUGUUGUCCAUUGACGGCAUCCGAUUUGGACGAAAGGUUUGGCGGUGAAGGAUGGGGAUGCGUCCGAUUAGCUGGACGGCGGGGUGACGGCCCACCGUGGCGACGAUCGGUAGGGGUUCUGAGAGGAAGGUCCCCCACACUGGAACUGAGACACGGUCCAGACCCCUACGGGAGGCAGCAGUGAGGAAUAUUGGUCAAUGGGCGUAAGCCUGAACCAGCCAAGUAGCGUGCAGGAUGUCGGCCCUAUGGGUUGUAAACUGCUUUUAUGCGGGGAUAAAGUGGCCCACGUGUGGGUUUUUGCAGGUACCGCAUGAAUAAGGACCGGCUAAUUCCGUG
rnacentral:rRNA from 1 species